rnacentral:rRNA from 1 species
AACGCUAGCUACAGGCUUAACACAUGCAAGUCGAACGGAUUCUGGAUUCGUCUGGAAUUAGUGGCAAACGGGUGAGUAACACGUAUCCAACCACCCUGCGACUCGGGGAUAGCCUCUUGAAAGGGAGAUUAAUAUCCGAUGUACUGUUUUUGGUGCAUGCCAUUUUCAGUAAAGUUUUUUACGGUCGCUGACGGGGAUGCGUUCCAUUAGAUAGUCGGUGUGGUAACGGCUCACCGAGUCUAUGAUGGAUAGGGGUUCUGAGAGGAAGGUCCCCCACAUUGGAACUGCGACACGGUCCAAACUCCUACGGGAGGCAGCAGUGAGGAAUAUUGGUCAAUGGGCGAAAGCCUGAACCAGCUAUGUAGCGUGAAGGAUGACUGCCCUAUGGGUUGUAAACUUCUUUUGUUCGGGAAUAACAGACUUCACUUGUGGAGUUUUGCAUGUACCGUUCGAAUAAGGAUCGGCUAACUCCGUGCCAGCAGCCGCGGUAAUACGGAGGAUCCUAGCGUUAUUCGGAUUUAUUGGGUUUAAAGGGAGCGUAGGCGGGGGGUCAAGUCAGCUGUGAAAUACGUACGCUUAACGUUCGUCUUGCAGUUGAAACUGGUUUUCUUGAGUGCGUAUGAGGCAGGCGGAAUUCGUGGUGUAGCGGUGAAAUGCUUAGAUAUCACGAAGAACUC